UUUAACUUGCUUUUUUUUCUCUCAGAUAAUGGAGGUACAUUAAAGUCUUUGGGGAAAAUAAAUGAUCUUUAAGGCACUAAAGCUAACCUUUUCCUCCAGGAUUUAGGUCUAUAUGGCUACCUGGUGGUAGCUACCAACUUCUAAGCAAAUCCAACAACAGUGCUAAGAAUGUAUGAAAAAUGUGCUAAAAAUGUAUGAAAAAAUGCUGUGCUAAUAAUAGCACUAUCAAUCAAUCAUGACUUUCUUGGACCUAAAGAGUUUCCAUAGACACAGAACUAGUGUUAAAACUCGGAAAGUCAGGCUGGGGCUCAGUGGCUCACGCCUGUAAUCCCUUUGCAAAGCACUUUGGGAGGUCAAGGUGGAUGAAUCGCUUAAGCCCAAGAGUUCGAGACCAGCCUGGGCAAUGUGGGGAAACCCUAUCUCUACCAAACAGAGACCCUGUCUCAACAAAAAAAAGUGGGGGUGGAGAGAUGGGGAGAGAGGUCCUAGAUAAAUCAGGACAAGGUGUAAGGUGUGGUCACCCAAAUUAGUAGUGACUGGAAUAAAAAUUACAUUACUCAGGAAAAUGAAAGGGUGGAAUCGCUUGGUGAUAUUUAAGUUUUACACUUAUAGUUACUGGUACAAACCACAUGAAAAAUAAUCAAAUGUUUUAAAACUCUUGCUCUUCAUGCUUUUUCCCCAUAAAAUAAUUUUUGAUAACUCAAGGUUUAUUAGAACAUAAUAUUACAUCAUAGCAAAAUACACAAUACUUACAAAAGACUAGCUGCCUCCUGGAAUGCAUUGACAGCUGCUGGAAUAUCCCCCAUCACAAGAUGUUUCUGUCCUAAACCCAACAGUUUCUUAGCUUCACUAUCCACAUCCAGACUGCAAAAAAAAGAUUUUUUCUAGUGUCAAGUACUGUUUAAAUCAGUAUUUUUUGAAUACCUGCUACAUUUGAGCAAUAGUUUAAUUUUUUAAAACUUUUGGACUACUCUGGCAAGGCCUGGCUAACACACUUAUUUACCAUCACAAAAUCAAAAGAAAUCUUAAAGGCAACAUUCCCAGAAGCCUGACUAGAGUAUUUUCUCAGUCGGGUGCGGUGACUCAUGCCUGUAAUCCCAGCACUUUGGGAGGCCGAGGCGGGCAGACCACAAGGUCAGGAGAUCGAGACCAU
rnacentral:lncRNA from 1 species